CAAGAAAAGGUCAGGAUAGCUCAGUUGGUAGAGCAGAGGACUGAAAAUCCUCGUGUCACCCAGUUCAAAU
rnacentral:tRNA from 1 species